rnacentral:rRNA from 1 species
AAAUUGAAGAGUUUGAUCAUGGCUCAGAUUGAACGCUGGCGGCAGGCCUAACACAUGCAAGUCGAACGGUAACAGGAAUCAGCUUGCUGAUUCGCUGACGAGUGGCGGACGGGUGAGUAAUGUCUGGGAAACUGCCUGAUGGAGGGGGAUAACUACUGGAAACGGUAGCUAAUACCGCAUAACGUCGCAAGACCAAAGAGGGGGAGCUUCGGGCCUCUUGCCAUCGGAUGUGCCCAGAUGGGAUUAGCUUGUUGGUGGGGUAACGGCUCACC